rnacentral:rRNA from 1 species
CCUUGAAAUACCACCCUUUAAUGUUUGAUGUUCUAACGUGGACCCGUAAUCCGGGUUGCGGACAGUGUCUGGUGGGUGGUUUGACUGGGGCGGUCUCCUCCUAAAGAGUAACGGAGGAGCACGAAGGUUGGCUAAUCCUGGUCGGACAUCAGGAGGUUAGUGCAAUGGCAUAAGCCAGCUUGACUGCGAGCGUGACGGCGCGAGCAGGUGCGAAAGCAGGUCAUAGUGAUCCGGUGGUUCUGAAUGGAAGGGCCAUCGCUCAACGGAUAAAAGGUACUCCGGGGAUAACAGGCUGAUACCGCCCAAGAGUUCAUAUCGACGGCGGUGUUUGGCACCUCGAUGUCGGCUCAUCACAUCCUGGGGCUGAAGUAGGUCCCAAGGGUAUGGCUGUUCGCCAUUUAAAGUGGUACGCGAGCUGGGUUUAGAACGUCGUGAGACAGUUCGGUCCCUAUCUGCCGUGGGCGCUGGAGAAUUGAGGGGGGCUGCUCCUAGUACGAGAGGACCGGAGUGGACGCAUCACUGGUGUUCGGGUUGUCAUGCCAAUGGCACUGCCCGGUAGCUAAAUGCGGAAGAGAUAAGUGCUGAAAGCAUCUAAGCACGAAACUUGCCCCGAGAUGAGUUCUCCCUGACUCCUUGAGAGUCCUGAAGGAACGUUGAAGACGACGACGUUGAUAGGCCGGGUGUGUAAGCGCAGCGAUGCGUUGAGCUAACCGGUACUAAUGAACCGUGAGGCUUAACCUUACAACGCCGAAG